AGCAGCCGCGGUAAUUCCAGCUCCAAUAGCGUAUAUUAAAGUUGUUGCAGUUAAAAAGCUCGUAGUUGAAUUUCGAGAUCAAUAUGUUGGUCGUGCCUCGGUACGUACUUGCAUAAUUGAUUUCUCCCUUCUGAUGAACCAUGAUGCCAUUAAUUUGGUGUUGUGGGGAAUCAGGACUGUUACCUUGAAAAAAUUAGAGUGUUUAAAGCAGGCUAACGCUUGAAUACAUUAGCAUGGAAUAACGGAAUAGGACGUUCGAUCUUAUUUGUUGGUUUCUAAGAUUGACGUAAUGAUUAAUAGGGGUAGUUGGGGGCAUUAGUAUUCAAUUGUCAGAGGUGAAAUUCUUGGAUUUAUUGAAGACUAACUACUGCGAAAGCAUUUGCCGAGGAUGUUUUCAUUAAUCAAGAACGAAAGUUAGGGGAUCGAAGACGAUCAGAUACCGUCGUAGUCUUAACCAUAAACUAUGCCGACUAGGGAUCGGAUGAUGUUAAUUUUUAAUGACUCAUUCGGCGCCUUACGG
rnacentral:rRNA from 1 species